UGAAAAUGCGAUGUCCUGUAUUGCAUAGUAAAAAAAAAAGAUUCUUGCCGGCCAAAUUAACAUUCCAGGUCAACAUGACACUUUUAAUUGAUAACCUGUGUCCUAGUAAAAUACAUGUUCUUUGAUCGGUGCAUGUCUUUACUCAUUUAUUAUUUGUCCCUUCUUCCGAAAUAUAAGAAAACAAAACCGCACACAAUCUGAGAACUU
rnacentral:lncRNA from 1 species